GACGAACGCUGGCGGCGUGCUUAACACAUGCAAGUCGAACGGAAAGGCCCUGCUUUUGUGGGGUGCUCGAGUGGCGAACGGGUGAGUAACACGUGAGUAACCUGCCCUUGACUUUGGGAUAACUUCAGGAAACUGGGGCUAAUACCGGAUAGGAGCUCCUGCUGCAUGGUGGGGGUUGGAAAGUUUCGGCGGUUGGGGAUGGACUCGCGGCUUAUCAGCUUGUUGGUGGGGUAGUGGCUUACCAAGGCUUUGACGGGUAGCCGGCCUGAGAGGGUGAACGGCCACAUUGGGACUGAGAUACGGCCCAGACUCCUACGGGAGGCAGAAGUGGGGAAUAUUGCACAAUGGGCGGAAGCCUGAUGCAGCCACGCCGCGUGCGGGAUGACGGCCUUCGGGUUGUAAACCGCUUUCGCCUGUGACGAAGCGUGAGUGACGGUAAUGGGUAAAGAAGCACCGGCUAACUACGUG
rnacentral:rRNA from 1 species